UGGUAUGAGGUCUUCUAUGAAGGUCUGAU
rnacentral:piRNA from 1 species